rnacentral:rRNA from 1 species
GACGAACGCUGGCGGCGUGCCUAAUACAUGCAAGUGGGGCGCAAGGGAACACACUGUGCUUGCACACCGUGUUUUCUUGAGUCGCGAACGGGUGAGUAACGCGUAGGUAACCUGCCUAUUAGCGGGGGAUAACUAUUGGAAACGAUAGCUAAUACCGCAUAAUAUUAAUUAUUGCAUGAUAAUUGAUUGAAAGAUGCAAGCGCAUCACUAGUAGAUGGACCUGCGUUGUAUUAGCUAGUUGGUAAGGUAAGAGCUUACCAAGGCGACGAUACAUAGCCGACCUGAGAGGGUGAUCGGCCACACUGGGACUGAGACACGGCCCAGACUCCUACGGGAGGCAGCAGUAGGGAAUCUUCGGCAAUGGACGAAAGUCUGACCGAGCAACGCCGCGUGAGUGAAGAAGGUUUUCGGAUCGUAAAGCUCUGUUGUAAGUCAAGAACGUGUGCGAGAGUGGAUUUU